UACGUAGGCAGCAAGCGUUGUUCGGAAUUACUGGGCGUAAAGAGUGUGUAGGCGGUGCUCUAAGUUUGGUGUGAAAUCUCCCGGCUUAACUGGGAGGGUGCGCCGGAAACUGGAGUGCUCGAGCGUGGGAGAGGAAAGCGGAAUUCCUGGUGUAGCGGUGAAAUGCGUAGAUAUCAGGAGGAACACCUGCGGUGUAGACGGCUUUCUGGACCAUUGCUGACGCUGAGACACGAAAGCGUGGGGAGCAAACAGG
rnacentral:rRNA from 1 species